GCCGGGUGUGGUGGCUCACACCUGUAAUCCCAGCACUUUAGGAGGCUGAGGUGGGUGGAUCACCUGGGGUCAGGAGUUCCAGACCAGCCUGACCAACAUGGUGAAACCCUGUCUCUG
rnacentral:sRNA from 1 species